rnacentral:lncRNA from 1 species
CCAGAUUCAGUAAAGAAUGCACUGCAGUUUACACCAAAAACUGGAAGAAGUCUCUAACUUGAGGAAAACUUGCAUUUCCAUUUGGACAGAUUCUGACUUGCAGGAGAAAGUAAUUUCACUGCACUUGGGAAGCUCAGGUAUGAUGAAGGUCCUCACAGAGCACAUGAAUUUAAGAAUGAUCCUGG